UACGAGGGGUGCAAACGUUAUUCGGAAUCAUUGGGCGUAAAGGGCGCGUAGGCGGCGCUUCAAGUCAAUUAUUAAAUCUUUUGGCCUAACCAAAAGUUUGUGGUUGAGACUGUGGUGCUAGAGGGCAGAAGAGAGAGGUGGAAUUCUCGGAGUAGCGGUAAAAUGCGUAGAUCUCGAGAGGAACACCGAUGGCGAAGGCAGCCUCUUGGUCUGUGCCUGACGUUGAGGCGCGAAAGCGUGGGGAGCAAACAGG
rnacentral:rRNA from 1 species